rnacentral:tRNA from 1 species
GCCUGGGUGGCUCAGUCGGUUAAGCAUCUGACUUCGGCUCAGAUCCUGAUCUCAUGGUAGGUGAGUUCAAGCCCCAUGUCGGGCU